CGCAGAGUAAUGAGGGGGGGUAAAAAUCAAAGACCCAUACCAAUUGAAAGUCUUACACAAUCUUAUGGGCUAGAAGCCAAUCUGUUUUUAGGUAGAACAAUGGUUUCUACCAGUCUCUUGUUUUGGUAACAAAUAGUACUGAUAUCAGGUUGUUUGCUUGUGAGCAUCUGAAAAUUGGCUCUUGUAUCUCAUUAACCUCAUUUAGGUGACCCAAAGAAAUGUGAAAUAAAUUAUAUGUGCAGUGUUGAGCAAUCCCUCAUUGUGAAAGGGUGGACAUCUGCAAGGAGAGGUUGAUAUUAGCUUGAAAAAUGGAGGAGGUUUUUAUUGCACAGAAGAUUUCUGAAUGCAGUUUUGUA